rnacentral:rRNA from 1 species
ACCGACUUACGUUGAAAAGUGAGCGGAUGAACUGAGGGUAGCGGAGAAAUUCCAAUCGAACCUGGAGAUAGCUGGUUCUCUCCGAAAUAGCUUUAGGGCUAGCCUCAAGUGAUGAUUAUUGGAGGUAGAGCACUGUUUGGACGAGGGGCCCCUCUCGGGUUACCGAAUUCAGACAAACUCCGAAUGCCAAUUAAUUUAACUUGGGAGUCAGAACAUGGGUGAUAAGGUCCGUGUUCGAAAGGGAAACAGCCCAGACCACCAGCUAAGGUCCCAAAAUAUAUGUUAAGUGGAAAAGGAUGUGGCGUUGCCCAGACAACUAGGAUGUUGGCUUAGAAGCAGCCAUCAUUUAAAGAGUGCGUAAUAGCUCACUAGUCGAGUGACACUGCGCCGAAAAUGUACCGGGGCUAAACAUAUUACCGAAGCUGUGGAUUGUCCUUUGGACAAUGGUAGGAGAGCGUUCUAAGGGCGUUGAAGCAUGAUCGUAAGGACAUGUGGAGCGCUUAGAAGUGAGAAUGCCGGUGUGAGUAGCGAAAGACGGGUGAGAAUCCCGUCCACCGAUUGACUAAGGUUUCCAGAGGAAGGCUCGUCCGCUCUGGGUUAGUCGGGUCCUAAGCUGAGGCCGACAGGCGUAGGCGAUGGAUAACAGGUUGAUAUUCCUGUACCACCUAUAAUCGUUUUAAUCGAUGGGGGGACGCAGUAGGAUAGGCGAAGCGUGCGAUUGGAUUGCACGUCUAAGCAGUAAGGCUGAGUAUUAGGCAAAUCCGGUACUCGUUAAGGCUGAGC